GGCAAAUUUACAGACAGAAAAAGUGGCAUCUUCAAUAAGUGAUCACUCUGUUGCAGAUGCUUUAGCUAAGAUCAACUUGUAACUUGAUUGACAUGUACAACAGUGUAAGAAUGGCACCUUGUGGGAAUGGAGCAUAUCUAGCAACAUUGGAUCCGACCCACACGGCUAUAACCACUAACGCGACUACGCUACUGCUUGUUUUGCCACAAAGCCAACUUGCAAAUGAAAGGCAUAAUGUAAGUAGAACACCACCUCUGCCUCCCAAAAUCCAUG
rnacentral:misc_RNA from 1 species